GAUGAAGAACGUAGCGAAAUGCGAUAAGUAAUGUGAAUUACAGAAUUCAGUGAAUCAUCGAAUCUUUGAACGCACCUUGCGCCCUUUGGCCAUUCCGAAGGGCAUGCCUGUUUGAGUAUCAUGAACACCUCAACUCUUUAUGGUUUUCCAUGAUGAGCUUGGACUCUGGGGGUUUUGCUGGCUCACAGUCGGCUCCUCUAAAAUAAAUCAGCUUACCAGUGUUUGGUGGGUAUCAUGGGUGUGAUAACUAUCUACGCUUGUGGUUUUUCCACCAGGUAACCUUCAGCAGUGGAGGUUCGCUGGAGCUCAUAGACGUCUCUCCUCAGUGAGGACAGCCCUUUGAACGUUUGAUCUCAAAUCAGGUAGGACUACCCGCUGAACUUAAGCAUAUCAAUAAGCGGAGGA
rnacentral:misc_RNA from 1 species